AUGGCCGCCAUCAAGAUGAAGCUCGUGGUGGACAGGUCGUCUAACCGCGUGCUGUUCGCCGACGCCGGCUCCGACUUGGUCGACGUCCUCCUCGCCUUCCUCACGCUCCCGAUCUCCGCCGUCCAGCUCGCCGCAGGCGCGUCCUCGCCGGGCUGCCUCACAAACCUCUGCGCCAGCGUCCGCCACCUGGGGGACGCUAAACUGUUGAAGGGCGAGGCCUGCCACGGCACGCUUCUCAGGCCUACGCACGCCGAUGAAUUUGGGUACGACCGCUUGCCAUGCCCACGGUGCACUCCGUUCAUGGAAACACAACUGAUUCCACAGGGACAGGGACACAACCAGCAGUACGGCUGCAGGUGCUGGGACGUCAUGGCUAGGCUUGUGCAUGUGUACAACCAAGCAACACAAACGGAGGUGUUCUCCAAGUGGAAAGAGAGGUUCGUGAUCAGCGACGAUUUGGUGAUCAAGCCGGCGGCGACGAGCACCGUCUUGUCUUUUCUUCAGAGGUUCUUAGGAGGAGAUAGGAUCAAUGACGCCUACCAAGUGGAGGUGGACGUCGGAUGGACCCAGGUUGUUUCCUUGCUCAGGGCAUGUGUCUCGUCCACCACCAUAUUCACCGACGUGUUUCUCACGAAAAGAACCGAUGCUUUGAUGAGCACAUCGGUGCUCACGAUUUACAAGCCUCGGCGUCAAGAAACCAACGACGACCCUGGUCCGCAGAUGAGCAUCAAGCUUUUCUUCGACAAGGAGGACAGAAAGGUCAUGUACGCUGAGUGCAAGCAUGACUUCGUGGACCUGCUCCUCAGUUUCCUGACCUACCCCAUGGGAUGCAUCCUCAAGAACCUGGCCGGCACCUCUCACCGGUUCCGCAGCUUCAACAAUCUUUACAGCAGCGCCGACGGUCUCAACACGUCUGGCUUCCUGACGGGGCACUGCUUCGGUGACAAGAGCAUGCUCCUGGAUCCUAGUCUAGCUCCGUUGAGGACCCACGGCAUCCAUGGGUCGGAACAAGCAAUUGUGGAGUGGUAUUAUCUCUGCCGCACCGGAAAGCGGCAUUGCUUGUGCACAAAGGAUAAAAGGCCAUGCCAUUUAUGCAAUCCGGGGUUUGUCGACGAUCACACCUAUGUUGUCGACGACGAGUUGCGUAUACAUCAAGCUUCCGCCGUGUCGGUGCUGAAGCACUGGCGCAAGAGAAACCGGGAUAAUGUAGUGGAGAUGGACAUUGCUGCUGUCGCGCUACUGCAAGCGGUGAUCAAUUCAGAGACUGCGCUGACAGAUGCGUUCAAGGGGAGGUUUCAGCAGGCAGCACAACAGUUGCCACCUUCGAAAAGAAGAACAUGUUCGCCAUCGGUGGAGAACAUGCAGAUCUUUGUCAAGAUCUUCACAGGCGAGACCAUCACCCUUGACGUGGCAAGCUCCGACACGGUUGCUGCCGUGAGGAGUAAGAUCCAGAUGAAGGGGAAGCUAAUGGCUGAUUGUAGGUUAGUGUACGGUGGCAAAUGCCUGCAGGAUCCAUGGACCCUGGCUGAUUGUGGCAUUCACAGAGAAGCCACCAUCCACCUUGAGUUUUACCCCCGCGGCCUUAUGAAAACAGAAACAGAAUGA
rnacentral:rRNA from 1 species